AGUGAACGCUGGCGGUAGGCCUAACACAUGCAAGUCGAACGGCAGCACAGUAAGAGCUUGCUCUUACGGGUGGCGAGUGGCGGAUGGGUGGGGAAUACAUCGGAAUCUACUUUUUAGCGGGGGCUAACGUAGGGAAACUUACGCUAAUACAGCAUAUGAUCUACGAGUGAAAGAAGGAGAUCUUCGGACCUUGCGCGAUUGAAUGAGCCGAAGUCGGAUUAGCUAGUUGGCGGGGUAAAGGCCUACCAAGGCGACGAUCCGUAGCUGGUCUGAGAGGAUGAUCAGCCACACUGGAACUGAGACACGGUCCAGACUCCUACGGGAGGCAGCAGUGGGGAAUAUUGGACAAUGGGCGCAAGCCUGAUCCAGCCAUACCGCGUGGGUGAAGAAGGCCUUCGGGUUGUAAAGCCCUUUUGUUGGGAAAGAAAAGCAGCAGGUUAAUACCCCGCUGUUCUGACGGUACCCAAAGAAUAAGCACCGGCUAACUUCGUG
rnacentral:rRNA from 1 species